rnacentral:rRNA from 1 species
CCCUUUCGGGGGUACUCGAGUGGCGAACGGGUGAGUAACACGUGGGUGAUCUGCCCUGCACUUUGGGAUAAGCCUGGGAAACUGGGUCUAAUACCGGAUAGGACUACGGCCUGCAUGGGUUGUGGUGGAAAGCUUUUGCGGUGUGGGAUGGGCCCGCGGCCUAUCAGCUUGUUGGUGGGGUGAUGGCCUACCAAGGCGACGACGGGUAGCCGGCCUGAGAGGGUGUCCGGCCACACUGGGACUGAGAUACGGCCCAGACUCCUACGGGAGGCAGCAGUGGGGAAUAUUGCACAAUGGGCGCAAGCCUGAUGCAGCGACGCCGCGUGGGGGAUGACGGCCUUCGGGUUGUAAACCUCUUUCACCAUCGGCGAAGCCGGUAGCUUUUGUUGCCGGUGACGGUAGGUGGAGAAAAAGCACCGGCCAACUACGUGCCAGCAGCCGCGGUAAUACGUAGGGUGCGAGCGUUGUCCGGAAUUACUGGGCGUAAAGAGCUCGUAGGUGGUUUGUCGCGUUGUCCGUGAAAUUCCCUGGCUUAACUGGGGGCGUGCGGGCGAUACGGGCAGACUGGAGUACUGCAAGGGAGACUGGAAUUCCUGGUGUAGCGGUGGAAUGCGCAGAUAUCAGGAGGAACACCGGUGGCGAAGGCGGGUCUCUGGGCAGUAACUGACGCUGAGGAGCGAAAGCGUGGGGAGCGAACAGGAUUAGAUACCCUGGUAGUCCACGCCGUAAACGGUGGGUACUAGGUGUGGGUUUCCUUCCUUGGGAUCCGUGCCGUAGCUAACGCAUUAAGUACCCCGCCUGGGGAGUACGGCCGCAAGGCUAAAACUCAAAGGAAUUGACGGGGGCCCGCACAAGCGGCGGAGCAUGUGG